rnacentral:rRNA from 1 species
CGGGGUGCACCAGGCGCGAAAACUUUACAAUGCGGGAAACCGUGAUAAGGGAACUCCGAGUGCCCGUAAGAUCGGGCUGUCCAUCUGUUUAAAUAACAGGUGAAGAAAGGGCCGGGCAAGACCGGUGCCAGCCGCCGCGGUAAUACCGGCGGCUCGAGUGGUGGCCACUAUUACUGGGCUUAAAGCGUUCGUAGCUGGUCUGUUAAGUCUCUGGGGAAAUCUACUGGCUUAACCAAUAGGCGUUUCAGGGAUACUGGCAGACUAGGGACCGGGAGAGGUGAGGGGUACUCCAGGGGUAGGAGUGAAAUCCUGUAAUCCUUGGGGGACCACCUGUGGCGAAGGCGCCUCACCAGAACGGCUCCGACAGUGAGGGACGAAAGCUGGGGGAGCAAACCGGAUUAGAUACCCGGGUAGUCCCAGCCGUAAACGAUGCGCGUUAGGUGUAUCGGUGACCACGAGUCACCGAGGUGCCGAAGAGAAAUCGUGAAACGUGCCGCCUGGGAAGUACGGUCGCAAGGCUGAAACUUAAAGGAAUUGGCGGGGGAG